UCUCCAUGCGGAGCCACGGAUUUAAAAAGAAGGAGAAAAGGAAGAGACCCCUUAUUUGUUUACCGGGUCUUUUGCUCUUCCUUCUUCAAAUCUCCCCACAAAUUAAAUGGCAAUAAAUAAGGUCUUUUCCAUCUCUCUUCCUCCAUACCACACCUCUCGAUCUGAGAGACCAAAGUGUAGAAAAUCUCCGCGAUGUUGGAGAAUCCAAGGUUCAACGCUUCAAAAUAUUCUCAGAUCUAAACCAGAAGAAAUUAUGGCAUAUGCUAAUUUUCAACCUCGAAGAGUUCAUCGCUCUAGCUAUUUUACAGAGAACAUAGCUUUUUGAAUAUGCAAAGUUUCUUGGGAACUCUCAGUUUUCUCUGCUUCAACUCCAGUCAUACAAACUUGUAUAUGCGCACAUGUUGGCCGAGGUUGGAAGGAUUUCGGAUUCAUUGAAAUACUGUCAAGCUGUUUACAAAUCUCUCAAAAUUGGACGAUCACCGGAAGAAGAUACAUUGAAACAGUUAUUAUCAUCUCUCGAAGAGAGGAUUAGGACACACCAACAGAGUGGAUAUGCAGCUAACUUGGCUCCAGGAAAGAUAGUGGUUAAAUUGCUCAACUUUUUUGAUAGUACAGUUCAUCGCAUUGCUCAACUUUUUUGAUAGUACAGUUCAUCGCAUUGUUGAUAGUACUGGUUAAAUGUGUUUCCCAAGACUGUUGUGACUCACGAAUAAUCUGCCGUAGGUGAUUUUGAUCUACUUACCUCUUGAUUUGUUUGAGUUUUCAAUUAAAUAGCUAUCUCGACCUCUAUUUUGGUGUUUUAGUUCCAAAACUCUUUCAGAAUAGGCAUUUGUUUUUAUUUUGGCUCCUCCAAGUCUUAUUUUGUGUUUCCUCGUUUCAUGAACAAGUGAUCGGGCUGCUGAUGAGUCUCAGAGCAAUCAAGUGAAAAGAAAGAAGAUGCUGACCAAAUAAGUAAUGGUAUUGGGAGCGCUGCGGUGCAAGUUUUCUAGGGACAAUCCGAUGUUCUUCUCAGACAUGAAUUUAGUAAGCAAGUACAAGAGACAGAUUAUUUCUGAACCACAUAUACUUGCAAUUGCAUUUGUGUCGUUGCUUCAGGUUAAAAAUUGUUUGAAUGUAUGUUGGGUGAAAAGGAAGAAUAAUAAGAAGAAAAAGGCUAACACAAGCAAGCAAAAACAAAAAUACAGUAGGUGCCACAAGUUUGCCGGUUUUGCAAAGUGUGGCAGGCUUAUUGGCUAUAUGAACAUUGAGAUGAUUCCAUUAAAGUUUGUGAAGCAUUAGAGGAAAACUUGAUGAAUAUGGAAUGCAGA